ensembl:lncRNA
GGGAAUAAGGGGAACCUGGGAAUGAGGGGAACCCACAAGUCGUGAGGCGACGUCCUGCGCUAGGCAUAGCCAUUGUGCUGCCCUUGGGUAGUGAGCUCACAGGUUAGGUUAGGUUGCCGGCUGGGGUAGGAGAAAAGCUCCCAGGAGGGAGUUCCUACAAAGGGGACCUGUAAGUCGUAUGCGUGGGAAAAGAGGAAUAACUCUCGCCUAGGUGGUUGGUAACAGCGGAUUUUGUUAAAUGACAGCGUGGAUUUUUGUGGCAAUCAUAGCAGGAGUCACAGGUUGUAUAAUUUCUAUUACCAUCUGUUGUAAAUGUUCGGUACGGUGUGUUUCAACUACAGAUGCAUUCAAAACAUUCUUUCAGGCGUUUGAACUCAGACUGUACUUAAGCCGGCAUUUGUGUGUGUGUGUGUGUGUGUGUGUGUGUGUGUGAGUGGGACGUGGCAGAGCCAUGAAGUGAGUGUGGAGUCCCCAGUCCGUGGUUCCGUUCUCCCGCGAGGGAAACGGCCGGAGAAGGAUGAAGCGAAAGACGAUUCCUUGUGUUGUCUGUCAGCUGUUUGUCUGUAUUUUAUCGACUGGAAUAAGGAUGGGAGUUUGUACUCCAUAGAUUGGGAAGAGGGACCAGAGGAAAGGUGUACAUUCCACCCGACAAAUGAAUGUUGGCCCGUUUCUGUUAUGCUGUGUUUAGUGUGUGAUGAGGUGUACCGGGGCUGGGGCAUCAUUUGUGUCCACAGUGCCAUUGUGACUGAUGGACGGAGCGCUGGGGAUUAGUGUGGGGAAAUUCUGG